rnacentral:rRNA from 1 species
CUCUAAGUNGGUGGUAAACUCCANCUAAGGCUAAAUAUGACCACGAGACCGAUAGCGAACAAGUAUCGUGAGGGANAGUUGAAAAGAACUUUGAAGAGAGAGUUCAAGAGUACGUGAAACCGUUCAGGGGUAAACCUGAGAAACCCANAAGAUCGAAUGGGGAGAUUCAUCGUCAGCGGCGUUGGCUUCCGUGCGGAUCGCGAUGCCUGAUGCUUCGGCAUCGUGGCACGUGUCCGCUGCGGUANGUCUAGCGUCGUCGGCGUGCACUUCUCCUCUAGUAGGACGUCGCGACCCGUUGGGUGUCGGCCUACGGCCCAGGUGGUGUUCAGGCCCGCCGCAAGCGYGGCCAGUGAUACCCGGAAUGCGGACCUAGUGCCGUUUUUCGGGCCUNGCCAGCUGUUGGUUGGCGGUGUCCUCGGANNNGCUCUGU